ACGUACACUCCUGCGGGAGGCAGCAGUGAGGAAUAUUGGACAAUGGGUGGAAGCCUGAUCCAGCCAUCCCGCGUGCAGGAAGACGGCCCUAUGGGUUGUAAACUGCUUUUAUCUGGGGAUAAACCUACUUACGUGUAAGUAGCUGAAGGUACCAGAAGAAUAAGCACCGGCUAACUCCGUGCCAGCAGCCGCGGUAAUACGGAGGGUGCAAGCGUUAUCCGGAUUUAUUGGGUUUAAAGGGUCCGUAGGCGGACUGAUAAGUCAGUGGUGAAAUCCGACAGCUUAACUGUCGAACUGCCAUUGAUACUGUUAGUCUUGAGUAAGGUUGAAGUGGCUGGAAUAAGUAGUGUAGCGGUGAAAUGCAUAGAUAUUACUUAGAACACCAAUUGCGAAGGCAGGUCACUAAGUCUUAACUGACGCUGAUGGACGAAAGCGUGGGGAGCGAACAGGAUUAGAAACCCCUGUAGUCCCA
rnacentral:rRNA from 1 species